rnacentral:rRNA from 1 species
UACGUAGGCAGCGAGCGUUGUUCGGAAUUACUGGGCGUAAAGAGUGCGUAGGCGGUGCUCUAAGUCUGUUGUGAAAUCUCCCGGCUCAACUGGGAGGGUGCGGCGGAAACUAGAGUGCUAGAGUGUGGGAGAGGUAAGCGGAAUUCCUGGUGUAGCGGUGAAAUUCGUAGAUAUUGGGAAGAACACCGGUGGCGAAGGCGGCUAUCUGGACCACAACUGACGCUGAGGCGCGAAAGCGUGGGGAGCAAACAGG